ensembl:lncRNA
AUUCAUAUGUAAAUAUUUGGAUGUGUCGUUCUGCUGAGGAACAGGAUGCAUCCGUGCGUCAGAGGCUGAUUGGCAAGACUGAAUCAGUGGUCCAUCUGGGCUGAGAGGGGAGGAAUGAAUUCCUGUUGAGUUUAGAGGCAGAGAGAAGAUGGAGAGGGAGAGAGGAGUAGGGGAGAAGGUAGAGGGGACAGAGAGGGAGAGAGGAGUAGGGGAGAAGGUAGAGGGGACAGAGAGGGAGAGAGGAGUAGGGGAGAAGGUAGAGGGGACAGAGAGGGAGAGAGGAGUAGGGGAGAAGGUAGAGGGGACAGAGAGGGAGAGAGGAGUAGGGGAGAAGGUAGAGGGGACAGAGAGGGAGAGAGGAGUAGGGGAGAAGGUUGAGGGGACAGAGAGGGAUGUGAGACAGAGGGGAGAGAGUUUAAGGGGAGGGAAGGAGGAGAGGGGAGAGAUGGGAAGACAGGGAGAGAGAGG